ACCAUCCUUUUCUUGGGGUUGCGUUACUGUCCAAUGAACGUCUAGUGAGGGCAGUACUGCUAACGCCUAAACAACACACGCGCAUCUCUUAAAGCUCUGCUUUAAUAUGGUGCAAUUUUUGGAACC